CACAUUUCCUGAGAAUUAACUGAUGUAACCAGUCUUCACCAUCAGCAUGUUGAUGCCCAACUAGGGAGGACAUUUGCCAGCCCCGCUUGAAUAUAGAGGUGUUGGGAGUCUUUGCCCGGGCAGAGAAGUCAGCAAGAUUUGCUCAGUCCCAGGACUUCUACAGCAGCAUAGAGAAAUGCCACGCUAUCUCAAUUAAGCACCAGUGGAGGCCGUGGUAGCUCCUUCAGUACAAAAGCAGUGGCUUCUGAAAGUCUCGAUGCCUCUGGAGGAGGGAUCCUAUUUAAUUUUGCCUCUUGAAAUGUACACCUUGUGGAAAGAUCUACACCACAUCCUCUCCUCGUUAAAUAAAACACCUUGGAGGAAGCUUG
rnacentral:lncRNA from 1 species